UUUUUUUUUCGUGGGCUAGCGUGCUUUGUAUCCGUACCACAAAGCACUAGGAAUACAAAGACUAGGGGCCGGGGACUUUUUUGGCCCGGCCGGCCCAGAACUGCAAGAGCUGAAACAAAGGUGAAUCGGAUGGACGAACCGAACCGUUGACAAAACUCAAGAUGAAAAGAGAAGAAAAAAGCUGGCCAAGACCAAAGAGAGAGGUGGAGGGAGAGAUUCGGAGCGAGGGGCCUGCCGGCCGAUCGAGUGGGCAGCAGUGGCAGUGGGCGGCUUCCCGGCCGGGCAUCUCAUCUCAGCCGCUGGCCCGCUGCGUGGUUCGCACGCAUGCAGAUGCAUUGCAUGCUCUUUCAAGUGGCCUUGCCCUCCCUCCCUGCCUUCCUUUUCUUAUAUGGUCAAAAGCACGGCCUGGCCCGGCCGUUCCCCGCCCACCCUCGCCGAUCGAGCUCGCAUUGCAUUGCAUUGCAUUGUGCCUGUGCCUCUCCUCCGUUCCAUGACGAUGGGCUCCGCCGCCUCCGACACCGUCGUCGGUACCUAGCUACCACCCCACUAUCUUCAAUUCCUUCUCCUUCCUUCCCGUUGCAUGAUGCAUGGCAUGCAGCUAGCUUCCGCCAAAACUUGAUGCGUGCAUGCAGUGCCCCGCAACUUCCGUCUGCUGGAGGAGCUGGAGCGCGGGGAGAAGGGCAUCGGCGACGGCAGCGUCAGCUACGGCAUGGACGACGACGGCGACGACAUCUUCAUGCGCUCAUGGACCGGGACCAUCAUAGGCCCGCUCAACGUACGUACGUAGGAGAGGAGGACUCUCUCCUCUAGUUAGUUCAUCAUCCAAUUCAGUUCCCUAUCCUAUCUAGUUAUACAGCAUGCAUAUAUGACUGAAAUGAUAUGCAUCCAGUGCGCGCACGAGGGUCGCAUCUACCAGCUGAAGCUGGUGUGUGACAAGGACUACCCCGACAAGCCGCCGGCGGUGCGGUUCCACUCCCGGAUCAACCUGGCCUGCGUGCACCCGGACACCGGGGUGGUGGAAGCCGACAAGCUGCCGACGCUGCGGGAGUGGCGGCGGGAGUACACGAUGGAGCACCUCCUCACCCAGCUCAAGAAGGAGAUGGCCGCGCCGCACAACCGCAGGCUGCCCCAGCCACCCGAAGGCACCUUCUUCUCCUCCGAUUCCAAUUCCAGUUCCACCACCACCAGUAGCUAGCUAGCUAGCCGGCGCGCGGCUCACCGGGUACGGUGUACGUGCCAGCUACUCAGCUCAGACUUCAGAGUUCAGAGUUCAGGUUCAGAGCAGAGCACUCCGGAUCGAUCGAUGCCUGUAUGUGUGUGUGAUCUCAACUCUGCAAUCUCAAGACGUGUGUGUGUGUGUGUGUGUCUCGUCGUCCCAUCUCGGAUAUCAUUAAAAAAAAAUAGUUUUCAGGUUGCAUGCAAAUUGCAUAUGCAUCUCGUUUUUGUUGAAAUUUAACUUAUAUCGAUACUUAUGCUGAAAUUUUACGAGAGAAAGAUAUUAUUCGUUCACUCAAAUAAAAAUACUACUAUAUAGAAGUAGUGCAGCAGAACAUGGCUGUGAGUAAACUCUGCGCGAGUAUGGUGCUCGGAUGUGUGGUGGAGUUGAGAGGAAGAAGGAACGGGGAGGAAAUUAUAAGGAAAGUGCCGGUGGCGUUCACGUAAAAAAGCACGUUUGGUUAUUAGGCGCGGCGGCGGCGGCGCACGGCGUCCAGUGUCCAGGUCCGUCGAAAGGAAUUCUGCACUGCAGCCAGCCCUGCAAGCACAACACAGCCGACCAACCAACCAUCGCGGCGGUCAAGAGAUAGUCAAAAUUUUGGCCGUUGUGGGCCGUGGCGUCGCCGUUAAGUUGCUCACCAACCACGCAUGGGUCAGGGGACCCAACCCCAACCCCAACCCCGGAGCCAGAGCCGGAGUGCGAGAACUGGAUGGAGACGGAGACAGUCAACUCAACAGGGCCGCCGGCGGCAGGCUUAUGCGCCAUAGGAGUAUGUAUGCGCUCAUACGAGGGAAAGGCAGGCAUAUACAUACACAUACUUUGUAUAUACCGUGGAGAGUGGAGCGGAGGAAGACAGCAGAAGACGACGACGUACUGGACCUCGUCGUCGUCUUCGUCGUGGGCAUCGACGCGACGGGGCCGUGUCCAGUCAGUGUCCAGUGGAAAGAUGAUGACUGCAGAGUGCGGUCGACAAGUCCAGAGGCUCCAGGCCGGGACUACAGAGUGGUGAGGCAGAGGCAGAGCAAAGCACGAAGUGGUGCGGGGAAUUUCUAUCGGAGCCGCGCCGCAACCGCAACACGUACGCAAUCCCCCCCGCGGGUGGAGGAGACCGCGUCGCCCGUGCACCGCGGAAUGCAGAGCGAGUGCUCCGACGGUCUUGGUCGUCGUCGUCGAUCGGUUCCUCACCCUCACCACGCGGUGCAGUGCAGGACCCAUGCCGACACUGCAUUGUAAAGUGUCGUGUGCGGUGCGGCGGCUCCUUACUUUUUAGUCAUCCUCGCCUCGAUAAAAUUUGGCUAAUUUUGAUUUGUUAAGAGGAAAAAAAAAUACUGUUUUUCUUUUAAAAAAUACUGUUACCAUUAUAUAUACGGAGUACUUCCUUGUGCAGAGUGACCGGGCGGGAGGAUCCCUUGCAGCCGUCGGCACGUAAUGCAACGGCGGCCGCAGGAGCAUAGUACAACCUGGGCACAUUGCACGAACCUGUCUGCUUUUACCGGUGCACACAGCACCUGGACUCUUGGUCUGGGUGCAUUGAACUCACUGAUGGAUUUGGCUUUGCCUGCGAGACAAAUUCUUUUUUUUUUCAUUCCCUUUUAUUGUUUUGCUAAUAAUUCCUUAACUAUAUUGCCUUCCUUCCGUAAAUAAAACAUCAGACUACAAAAAUAACGUCACGCAGCGCGCCUAGCCACCCAGGUUUGUUUACUUAUAUAUACCUCUCUCGUCCAUUGGAGAGGCUAAGCAGAUACUCCUACCAUACAUAGCGUUUUUUUUUAUAUCAAAGAAAAUCAAAAAACACUGUUGUUGGAGAUUCAACAUCGAUCGACGACGGCAGAAAGGAUAAGCAGACUGACUGUGUUAUUUUAUUUAUAUAUAUAUAUAUAUAAUCGCAGACCAAGUCGGCCUGCGUUGAACAUAGUAGUAACAUGAAGCCAGUCCAGGUGCGUCCAACAAAAACAAAUCACUUGGCCGUUGGGUUGGCAUGGAGGAUGGAUGAUACAGUUCGUUCCUCCUUCCUGGUCUGGUGGUCGGGUCAGUCAACGUGGACACGCCCCGCCCCAAUCAUUAUUAAACAAAUGAGAUUUCUCCCCGCGCCACACGCCAUAAACGCGUGCACUGUCCAGCCCAGCGUCCACCCACCGUCGAUCCCAGUUGCCGUACGAAUCUCCACGCGCACGCCGGCUUCCUCCUCCCGUUCCUCGCACCCUCCUGCCUGCCCCCGUUCCCCAUCCUAUCCUAUAAAACCCCGGCUGCCCUGAUCACCAAACAUCGCUGGAGAUCGAGAGACCGAAGCAGCAGCAGCACAAGCAUCCGAGGUUCCGAAUUGUCCGUCGUGCAAACCCAGCAGUCAAGUUCGACUCAGUCAUCCAACCCCCGAUCGAUCGGAUCAGAUCCACAAGCAAUUAAGCAAGCCACGCCGACAUGCCUUCAGUCGAGGUGGGCGGCGCCGCCGGGUGGAGGCCCAAGCACCUCCACAAGCAGUACCAGCAGAAGCACCACCACUACACCCAGCAGCAGCAGCAUCAGCCACCGUCCCAUCCCCAUCCCCACCCGCCGCCGCAACAGCAACCGCUGGAGAUCCGGGAGGUAUGGGCAGACAACGUCGACCGCGAGUUCAAGCUAAUCCGCGCGGCCAUCGAGCACUUCCCCUACGUGUCCAUGGACACGGAGUUCCCCGGCGUGAUCCACCACCCACCCGCUUCCGUCCACCACUCCACGCUCACCCCAUCACAGCGCUACGCCCUCCUCAAAUCCAACGUCGACGCGCUGCACCUCAUCCAGGUCGGCCUGGUCUUCGCGGCGUCCCCGUCCUCCCCGCCGGCACUCGCGUUCCAGAUCAACCUCCGCGAGUUCGACCCGCGGGUACACCGCCACGCGCCGGACUCCGUCCGCCUGCUCGCGUCCAGCGGCGUCGACCUCGCCGCGCACCGCGCCAGGGGGGUUUCGGCCCGCGCCUUCGCCGCGCUGCUCAUGUCGUCGGGCCUCGUCUGCAACCCUGACGUGGCGUGGGUCACCUUCUGCUCCGCCUACGACUUCGCCUACCUCGUCAAGGUGCUCAUGGGCCGGAAGCUGCCCCGGGCGCUCCCGGAGUUCCUGCGGUACGUCAGGGUCUACUUCGGCGCCGCCGUGUACGACGUCAAGCACAUGGCUAGGGUCGCCGUUGACUCCUACGGCGAGGUCGCGCUGCUGGGUGGGCUCGAGCGCGUCGCCGGUGCCCUCCGGGUGCGCCGCGCCGCCGGACGGGGACACCAGGCCGCGUCCGACAGCGUGCUCACGUGGGACACGUUCCGGGAGAUGGCUAGGCUCUACUUCCCCAAGGAAUGCAGCCUGGACGUGUGCGCCGGCGUGAUCUACGGCCUUGAGCUCCGCCACGGCGACGCCACUACCAAGCCCAAGCCGGCUAAAGUGCGCGCUGCGCUGCGCUGCUGAGAUAAUAAUGUUGUUAUCAUCAUGUACAGUACAGAACCUCCCAAACUGGAUUUUGGGGGAAAUAACAGUAAAGAAACAAGAGAACGGUUCUUUGAUUGGUUAAAUUCUUUGGAUUGUCCGGUUUGUUGCAAUGCAUGAAGUUGGAAAUUUGAAGUUGCACAGUGAACAGACAGUGACCCCCGGCCUCCAACCACUCUGCUGGGCGGCUGUUGCAGGUUUGAAUUUGAAUUUGAAUUUGAACGCACGCACGCGUACUAUUGAGGAAUCCCACUAGCGUCUGUCGUACGAUUAGAGAGAGAAGAAGAAGGCGACGACGACUGAUGACGAGGGAGCAGCAGCAGCAGCAGCGUCGGGCAGGCUCGUCAACGACAACGCACGCACGGAAGCCAGCCGGCCUUGCCUUGGACUGACGGUGAGUGGCGACCAUGAUCGAUCUGAACGAAUAGGAGAGUGGCCGGGCAGGGACACUGCAUUGUGCACUAAAAUUAGGCGAAUUGGUUGGUUUGGUUGGGUCAAUAGAAUUAGUUGAUUCUGAUUAUUCGCCGUUUCCGUUCCGACGACCGACUCCCUCAGCUCAGACAGACAACGACCUCGGCAGUCACCUAUAGAUUAUUAGCACGAAAGAGUAUUAUUAUUUGCUCGCUAACCGGCUGCUUUGGCAAGCAGUCCACGCAACAGGCAGUGUCAACCAAUUCUGCAUCGGUUUAUUCAUAAUAAUUUAGUAGUACACGCAAUUAUCGAAAUAAGCCUAGCAGUAUUUGAAAUUGCUGUGGUGUUUCUGUUCACGGUCGAUGAUGAUUGUUCAGCCGCACCCGCCGCUAGUUUAUUCCGAGCAACCUACAAUUUGACUAAUAUCGGGUAUAUUGGAACACUGCCAUGUUCAGCUGUUUUCCCAUCCUCAAAACGAAUGAGUCUGUUUGUUUAGCAGAAAAGUUAGGGUUGAAAAUAUUAUUCGCUGAUUUAUUAUAAGAGAAAAACACUGUUGAUAAGCUCAAGCAGACAUGCUGGUAUUUAUUUAUGUAGUAUAAUCUUAGAGUAGUGCUAGAUCCAACAAUCUACAAUUACAGUAAUGUGCGGUUGAUAUUGGAAAACUGCCAUGUUGGGCUGUUGGCUUGGCUGAGGUGGCAGCUAACAGUGACGUGGCAGUCGGCAAUUGGAUUAGCCUGCUGACUAGAUAUGAGUCUUGAUACGCUGACUUGGGUCAAAGGUGGAUCUCGGCUGCGUAUUCCGGAUCCGACGGUUCCUGGGCGUCAUUCUGGAACACGAUUAAUUAUUGAGCUAAGGUCAACAUAGACCCUUUUUUUUUGCGAGCAAGGUCAACGUAGACCUUGAUUGAACUAAAUCAGUUGAAUAAUACGUGCUACUGUGUGCACUAAAGCGGGUCAGCAGCAGCAUAAAUACAUACAUACUUGUCUGCACGUCGAGAGCCUGAAGCCUCUCGUGUCUCCUUUGUUUUCUGAUGCUACUAGUCUAAAUACUUACUCAAAGUAAGGCCCUGUUUAGUUUGGAAAAAUUUUGGUUUUUGGCUACUGUAGCACUUUCGUUUUUAUUUGAUAAAUAUUGUCCAAUCACGGAGUAACUAGGCUCAAAAGAUUCAUCUCACAAAUUACAGAUAAACUGUGUAAUUAGUUUUUAUUUUCAUCUAUAUUUAAUGCUUCAUGCAUACGACCAAAGAUUUGAUGUGAUGGGAAAUCUUGAAAAUUAUUGCGAACUAAACAAGGCCUAAAAAGAAAAUUAUAAGUCGUUUUGGAGACUACAGUUGCCUGUGCUCACCGUUGACCGACACGGCGACACUAAUCGCAGCAUUGCUGCCGUGUUUGCUAAAGUGUGCACCAACCUCCAAAUGCUGGGGUCGAGAUGAUUGAGGUGGAGUAUACAAAUUGGCCGGGACGGGACACAAUCUCCUACAUUUUCUGUUUUGAUUUUUGAGCGUGGAGGAUGACAUGGCAAAUGCAGAGCGCUGGGAAAUGCAGCUUCUCCCUUUUUUUCCUCCCUGUUCAAUCAAUUCAAAAUGAAACUUGAUCGAGCUCUCCUUUAUUUCUGCUUCUGGUAUGGGUAGGGUAGGAAAGCAACCAAGCCCAAUGCAAACAUCUGCUUCUCAUGUGACACAAGGGAAUCAGCUGACAGCGCUUGAACCCUAAUCCCUAAACCAAUGCAAGCAUCUUCCUAAACCUAGUAGUAGCAACAAGGUCAGUUGAAUAAUACAGUAGAGCAGAUCAGCAUCCUUGCCUGCACGUCGAGAGCCAUUUUGAAAGAAAAAUAAAAGGUGAAAAAAAAAAACUGAAGCCUCUCGUGUCGUCGUCUCUCCUUUGUUUUCUGCUAAAUACUAGUAGUCCGUAGUAGACUCCAGCUGGGUGUGCUGCUUACUGGUCCCUGCUGUGCUGACCGACACGUCGACACUAACUAAUCGCAGUCGCAGCAUUCCUGCCGUGUUUGCUAAAGUGUGUGCACCAACCACCAAAUGGUGGUAUCGAGAUGAUUGAGGUGUAUACAUAUUCUGUUCUAAUCUUCUACCAUGGAGGAUGACACGGCAAAUAUCUGUUCAAGGCAGAAGAAGAGGGGAAAAAAAAAAUACCCAAGGCGUCUUGUAAUUGCAAAACUCUUGAAAGACGAGGAUGGCUCGAAAGCGACCAGGUUGCUCCAAGGGCGUUGCACCUGUCGCGAGCAUAGCAAGCAUUUUCAAUGUUGUUUUUGGCUGGCUGGCUGGUUUCCUGACUGCCUGAUUCUCUGCUUUAGUUUCUGCUGUUUUUUUGGGUUACUUUCCCUCUAUUUUAGCAUCAGUUAAUCACCUGCUGCUGAUGAUGCUUGAUGAUUAACGAGUAAGCAAAGGGAGGGCGAGCACUCCGCCAUCAUCACAUUCACACGCACGCACGGCAAUAUAUAUAAGAUGAUAAAAGAAAAGCAUGCAGACUUGUUUGGUUUCGUUGCGCGCGGUCACUGUCUGUCUCUCUUGUGUUGUGUCUCCCAACCUCAUCCUCGUCUUCGGGACGCUUGGACGUUUUGUCCCCUCCCCUCAUACCCUGCACCCUGAUUUCAGUCCCUUGAACUGAGUUCACAAUUGUUGCAUUGCAUCCUCCCUCCUCCAGCCUUCUUACAUUUUUAGUUUUAAUCUGUCGGUGCAUCGACAAGUUUUUCAACAUUCCCCCUCAUCCUAUCCUCCUUACGCCAAUUUCAAUGGAAAUUUCAUUCUUAUAUCAGAGAAAUUACUGAUUUGACAAGUUAAUCAUAAGAUAAAUAUAUAAAGAGUUUCAUAGAUUAUUAUCUAAAUAAAAUCCAUUAUUACAAUUAUCUAUAAAUGUAUUAGUUUUCGUAACUGUGUUAUGAAACUUCCAUUAAGACUGGUGUUAUGCCAAAUAGGGCCACCUCUGGCUCUACAAAGGCGGGAGGGGCGACGGUAUAUGGCCCAUGAGACCGUAUAGGCUAAUGUCAUCACUGUAUAUCUGCCAAUGUGCGCAUGAACCAACGACUGAAGAAACAAAAUUGCCCAAAGCCUUGCAGUCAGCCUGGAAUUGGAUAGUGAAAAAUCAGAGACUCGCAUGGCAAAGUCUAGCCUCUCUACACAACUAUCUGCUAGUGCUUGUGGUUCCUCCGAUGAUCACAGAGUUCUAGACAUUAGACUAGACAUAGCCUCUGCUCCCUUAGUCCCUAAAUAACCGAUGUUUUCGCUUCUCGAAAAAAACUGACUAAAUAAAUAAAGAAAAUAUUAAUACCUGUGGUACAAAAUCAGAUCAUUAGAUAGAUAGUUGAAUCUAUCUAUUUUUAUAAUAAAUUUAUUUAAAGAUAUAAAUGUAACACAUUUUUUCUACAAAUAAUACAAUCAAACUUAUAGCAUGAAAAAACCAAAACGACAGAGUACUCUUCAAGUCUACUCCCUCCUACUCCCUCCAUUUAUGAAAGAAUCAAUUUCUAGUGUUGUCCUAAGACAAAUUUUUUAAACUUUGACCAAAUUUCUAGAAAAAAAUGCUAAAAUUUAUGGUAUCAAAUUAGUAUCAUUAGAUUUUUAUCAUAGAAUAUAUAUAUUUUCAUAAGAUGCGUAUUUUAUAUUAUAGAUGUUGUUACUCUUUUAUAUAAAAUUAGUCAAGCUUAAAUAAGUUUGACUGACACGGAUUUUAGAAAUCGAUUCUUUCGUGGACAAAGGAAGUAUAUGCAACUAGCUGUUACACAAUUUCUCAACUAUACCUUAGGCCGUCUCUGAGGGUCUAGCUUAGAGCUACUUGAAUCCAAUCCUUUUUACACGUCACACCAGCUUUGCCCCAAGUCAAACAUUACUAUUUGACUAUCUAUUUCAAAAGACAUCUUACAAUUACUUUUAACACGAUGAAUUCAUUACAGAAUGCAAAGGUGUGGACAGAGAACGGUCGGUAUCCUUUUGGUUUUCAUUUGUUUUUUCAAGAAACAAGCAUCCACUACCAUCAUAACUUUUAUGCCAUCGCAUGAAUUGUCCAAACAAUUACUUGUGAGGAAGGGACCACAGGUGUGCCCAUGCUAGUUGCAAGCCUGUACAUAUGUUCUUCAACAUCAGCAGUAGCGGCACUGCAAUCAAGUAGAAAUUUUAGGACCCACAGCAGUUGAUAAGCAAAGAGAAAGGAAAAUGGAAAAGUCAAAAGUGCAUUGUGAUAGAAUACACACUUGGUGCACUCGAUGAGGAUACCAAACGUAGGAGUUAAGAUGAUGGAAAAACAAUGAACCUGACAAAAACAAGACAGUGACUUUCAAAUAUGCAUCACUGUCUUUAAAUUUAGCAGAGCAUAGCCGGGCUUGAGUGCUUCAAACGUGGCUACAUCUGGAGAGUAGGCGAUGGCACACAAAUAAAUAUAUGGGAGGAUAGCUGGAUCCGGGAGUCAUAUUCUGAAGAUUCAAAACGCCUUAGAGGGAACAAUCUGAUCCCAAAGCUGGAGGAGCUGAUCAACCCGAUAGAUACAACAUGGGAUGUCGACUUAAUUAGGUCCAUAUUUUGGCCAGUUGAUGUGCCCUGAAUUUUGCAAAUCCCCAUCACUCCGGUGAGGGAAGAUGUAGUGGCGUGGCACUUUAACAGAAACGGGAUCUUUUCAGUGCGCUCAGCUUACCACUGUCACUGGGAGAGUAAGUUUGGGCCAAGAUGCAGCUCGAUGUUAGCAAGUAGUGCAGCUAGGAGUCAAGUUUGGAAGAGGCUGUGGAAUCUGCAUGUACCAAGGAAGAUUAAGGUUUUUGGGUGGCAGGUUUUGCAUGGAUUUAUUCCUUGCCGGGCUGCUGCAGAGCAAGUGCCAGCUCUCCUGAUGCACGAACCAAAGAAAAACACAUUUCAGGAUGCUUAUAGAUGAAAAAUAAUCUUUCUGGGAUGAAGGAGAUGAGUUCUGAAGAUUAGUAACCUUGAGUUGAGGUCAAACUUGUGUCUCCCUUGUGCUCCAAAGCAUAUAACACACUCACAAAGUCACAUCCACGUCACAUUGUGAGGAAGAAGAUAAAAGGAUAAGUCACCAAAGGUCAACUAGCACUUUUACCAUUCCAGUAACAAAGCCAGCGAGGUCAGUGGUCAACUUGUACUUUUACCUGACAGGCUGAAUACCUGAAAACAUAUACAAGGGUAACUUAGCUACUGUCAAAACUGACAGUAUUACCUCUGCGCAAAUAUGCAAUCUUAUUCUCAAAGCCAGAUCCCCAAACACAAGACAAUGCAAGGCACGGACGCACAUUUUGGAAAAGCACUGAAAUAUCAUUUGACCAAAACUUUUACAGAAAGUACUUGUGUUCUUGUUGGAGAAUGUCCACUGUUAAUAUUAGAGGGCAACAACAGAACUGUUAUCUUUGCUUCCCAAGGCUUGUUACUUCUUCGUUCUUCCUGUCCAUCUCAACCCUACCAUAAUUGUCACUUUUUGCAACUACCAACUAUUGAUGCCAAGCAUUUCUGUCACUGCAUAAUCAAUGAGUGGUUCUGCACAAAUGACACAUCUGAAGAUGCGCUAUUUCAGGCCAGCCUAUUUUAACCUCCUGAAGCUGCCUGUUCAAAACCUGUGCAGCUCCAAAACAAUCCCCGGGUGUAUAUUUGAGUUACUUUAUUCCAAAAUCACUUUGGUCCUUUUCUUUGCAAUCAAGCUUCAGCCUUGUCGCUAAGUCAUCCAUGAUGGCAUAUAUCUCCUGAUUCUCAGGUUGACUCUCCCUAAUUUUGAAUUCAUCAACAAUCUCAUUUAAGUUCACCAGACGAUGUCCAGGCCUGAACCUCUCAUCUCUCCCUUUCAUGAUAGCCUUCACCCUGUGAACUUCUUCCCACCUCCCUACAGCAGCGUACACAUUGCAAAGCAGUGCAUAGUGAGCAUUGUUGCUCGGUUCAAGCUCAAUCAACCUGAGAGCUAUCCGUUCCCCAAGUCUCCAAUCCUUCCGGAACCGACAUAACCCAAGCAAACUACCCAAUGCUCGUGCCUUCAUAUCCUCUGGUAUACUCUGUAAGAGGCCCUCGGCUUCUUCCAGAAGCCCAACACUCCCAUACAGAUUGGCCACGCACCAGUAGUGCGCAAAUGUCGGCUUGAGGUUGUACACGGUGCUCAUCUGCUCAAAAUAUGCCCUUCCGUCCUCCAAGAGGCCUAAACGGGCACAGGCGCAGAGAACACCAAUGAAAGUGACUCCAUCUGGCUGCACAUUCCCUGAAAAGGCAGCCAGGAGUUAGAUGCAUAUAUAAAGUUCAAAAAUGCAAAUGUAGCAAUAUGUUGCUUUCUGAAGAACUAAUCUUGGAAAUCUGAACCCACCCAGUGUGAUCAUAUGCUGGAACAGUUUGAUCCCAUCACCGGGUUCACCAUACACACAGUGCCCUAUGAUCAUCGCAUUCCAGCAUACCACGUUCCUCAUUCUGAGCCGAUCAAACAGCUUCCUUGCAACCCCAGACCUCCGACACUUGCCAUACAUAUCAAUCAAUGCAGUCCAAACUAACAGGUUAUCAUCCUCAAAACGGCGCAGGAACACACAGUGCACCUCCUUCCCAGCCCCUAGCCUCCCCAGCCUAGCACACGCCGUGGCUGCCCCGACCAUGGCUGCUGCCGUCCCCCUCACUCCUGCCUUUGCCAUCCACCGGACCACCUCCAGUGCCUGUUCAGGCCACUUCGCCUUGACAUACCCAUUAAUCAUGAUGUUCCAUGACACUGCACUUCUCAGGUGCAUUCCCUCGAACAGCUGGCGUGCGGCAUCAAUGCCACCAGGUGUGCUAGCUAAGGCCGUCAUCAGGGUGUUGUAGGACACGAUGUCCCUGAAUGGCAUUUCGUCGAACAGGUAGCGGGCGGACGAGAGGCCGCCGGCAGUGGCAUAGAAGUGGAGGAGUGCGUUGGCAGCGUGGGGCGGCGGGGAGAAGAGGAGGCCGCGGCGGAGGACCUGCCCGUGGAGGGCGAGCGCGGAGCGGAGGUGGAGUCGCGGGGAGGCAGCGGAGGCGGCAGCUGAGAGGAGAGGAGGGAAGGAGAAGUGAUCGGGGAAGACCGGUUGGUGGGAGCGGAGGAGGGCCGCGAAGAGGGAGAGGAGGGUGGAGAAGGGGAUGCGAGGGCCUACGGCGCGGAGUGCGAGGUCGAUGGAGAAGACCGGCAGGGGAGGAGGUAGGUGGUGGAGGAGGCGGAGGAUGUGGGCGGGCGGCGAGGCGGCGGAGCAGGCAGAGGCGGUGAGGAGGAGGCCGGCGGGGACGGCGUGGCCGAGGAGGAGGCCGCGGCGGAGGAGGAAGGCGUGUGCGCAGAGAACGGAGGAGUGAGUGCGGAGGCCGUAGCGGAGUAAGCCGUGGAGGUCGUCGCCGAUGAUGCCGCCGCCGCCGGCUGAAUGGGGGGAGGUGGAGGUGGUCGCCAUCAGUGGAGAACACGGGGCGGCGGCGCCAUGGGGUUUUGGCGUCUCAGGAUUUUGCCUCGCUGACCAGUGGGCCCAUGAUGCAGGCUGGGUUUUCACCUCAGGAUCUGCCACCGUUGGGAUCUCUGACUUCUGAAAAUCCCAAGAUCUUUGUACAACUUCAGAAAUCCAAAAAUUCGGACACAAAUUGGGUCUUGUUUAAUUCUAAUUUUUUUUUACAAUGAACGCUGUAACACUUUCGUUCAUAUUUAAUAAAUACUGUCUAAUUAUAAAUUAACUAAGUUUAAAAGAUCCGUCUUGCAAAUUACCGGCAAACUAUAUAAUUAAUUAUUUUUUAUCUAUAUUUAACGCUUUUAUGCAUGUGCCACAAGAUUCAAUAUGACGAUAAAUCUAAAAAAUUUUAUAAUUUUUUUGAACUAAAGAAGACCCGUAUUACUACAUCACUCUUGUGGUUUUAAAACGUCGUGUCAUACUUCCAUCAUUCUUGACCUUGUACCACAAAAUACCCCUUGCUUCGUAGCCGAAAGGAUCUCUGAGGUUAGCUUCGUAAUACUCCUGUCCUAACGCACAGAAACUAAACACUAGCGUUAUUCAUCAUCUUAGAUACUCAUCAUGCUUGAAACUAAACACUAGCGUUAUCCAUCAUCUUACAAUUUGCAUUUUCUAUUUUUUUUUCUUUUAACAAGUACAUCCAAUCUUUCUCGGUUGUUACCAAGUCCCAAUGUCUGCAAGUUAGGGGGGGGGGGGGGGAGGGGGAGAUAAAUGUGAUAUUUAUGAAAGAGAAAUUUUAUUAUAUUGCUGAUGACUUUGUUAUGUUCUUGAUAGAACGUAAAUAAAAAAUCACUUUAUUGCUUUUGCAAAAAUAGAAUAAAAACAAAAAAUCACUUAGUAUGAUGCGAAGUUAUUGUAUACACUACGAGUGACUUAGCUAGGGAAUUACAGGUGCAAGCAAAUAUUGUGAUUGCAUGCAAGAACAUAUAUACAAUAAUACAUCUUAAAUAUGUCACAUACUCCUUUUGUCUUAAAAUAGCUAAGAUUUUAACCAUUAAUAUAGACAAAUAUGUAUCCAGAUUCAUAUCUAAAAUGAUAACUAUUUUGAGAUAGAGAGAGUACACAUGUCAGUAUGUGUCACUCAUGAUGCCGACUUGUAUUGAGGAUAUUAUUGCUCGGGACUAUAAUUACGUUGUUGACUAAUAAAAUGUCUCACGUUUUCUCGUAAAAAAAGAGAGAUGUCAUCACUUCGGAUCAGAACAUGAUUGAGCCAAAAGCUCAACAUGGGCGCCGGCUAAAACUAUUAAAAGCUAGGAUGUUCCCCAUCUCAAUUUACAUUAUAUAUAAGACGUAGUUUAACAUAGUGCUUAGAGAAACAGGAGUACUUAUUGGUCGGAGGUUGCGACGAUCCUGCAUGAUGUUGAAGAAAUGGCGGUGACCUUCACUUGUUUGGAUGUUGUCUACACGAGGACUCUGAAUUUCGCCGCACAUUUAUGUGCCAAGCACACAUUAGUUUCUUUGCAAGAUUAUGUUUGGCAUGCCCCUCCUACCUUCUUGCAGCAAUGCCUGCAGCAUGAUCGUGAUGCUACUCCUUAAUUAAUGAAGCUUUUUUGUUAAAAAAUAUAUAUUAAUUAUUCAUUUAUUUUAUAUUAUAAUGUUAUUUAUUAAUAGAAAUUUAUAAUUAAUGAAAUCUAAUAGCAUUAAGUUUGUUUACAAUAGUUAAACUCUGUGACGGAAUUAUUAAUUACAAAGAUUACAAAGUUUGAUUAUUGAGCCCAGAGCUAAUCGAAAUGCAGCUUCUCCUCUUUAUUUGCUGGGAAACCUCGGCAGCAGCCGGGUCAAGGGCUCGAGGCAAUAGGCAACACCGCUACACAGACCUGAAAACCAGCAUUUUGCUGCAUGCACGUGGAUUUGGAUGUUGCCACUGUCAUACUUUGGGCUUGUUCAGUUCGCAAAAAGUAUAGUUUUUGGCUACUGUAGCAAUUUCGUUUUUAUUUGACAAACAUUAUCCAAUCACAGAGUAACUAGGCUCAAAAGAUUCAUCUCACAAAUUACAGGUAAACUGUGUAAUUAGUUUUUAUUUUCGUCUAUAUUUAAUACUCCAUGCAUGCGACUAAAGAUUCGAUGUGACAUGAAAUCUUGAAAAUUUUUGCGAACUAAACAAGGCCUUUGAUCAGUCCUGCGUCAAAAGCCAUGCAGUCCGUGAAGUCACCAAGUUCUUAAAAAUUUUGCAAAAUUGUUCAGAUUUUUCAUCACAUCAAAUCUUACGGCACAUGCAUAAAACAUUAAAUAUAAGUAAAAAAGAUAAUAAUUAAUUAUAUAGUUUGCAUGUAAUUUACGAGACGAAUCUUUUAAACGUACUUAUCAGACGUGAGAUUUCACAUCAGCCAGGGCCCAGGGAGUCAGGCCGUCCGCAUACAGGGCUUGCACAAUAUUAUCCCGCUUCGUGAUGUAUCCGUUUAAACGACAUAAAAUCUUAAAAAGAUUUAUAAACUAAACAAGACCUUAAACACAAAUUUUAAACACAAAAGCAUCUCUUUUCUUUCCACUUCUCUUUUCUUGGGCAACACCCAAAUUGGACAGAAAAUCUUCCAUCAGAUGCGAAACGAGUGGAACGCAUACCCUUGAUCCAGAACGUCGUUACGACCUACUCCCUCCGUCCAACUAAUUCUUACAGUCUGUACUAGUUAAGUUUAACAGAUUUUAUAAAAAUAAUAAUAAUAAUAUUUAUAACAUAUAAUACGUAUUUAAUACCAUAAAUUUUAGCAAUUUUUUUCUAGAAAUUUAGUUAAAGUUUAAAAUUUUGAACUUAAAACAAUUCUAAAAAUUGAUUCUUUCGUGAAUGGAAGGGGUUGACACCUAUCAACUUUAUGAAUAUGUGGGGGCAUUUUAUCUCUCUAUUUCUCCUGCUCACCUGGAGCCUAGUCUCUCUCUUUUUAACGUUAAUGACAGGAGCUCUACUUUUUAAAGAGAAAAAAGAGAGUUCUACUUUUAACAAUAAUGGCAUGCGUUAUGAUUGCCAUGCAAUUCAUAAUAUUCCUUUGAUUCUAUCACAAAUUAAGGAAUUAUGAGCGUCUUAAUGAAAAUCGUGUGUGGCAUGUUCUAAAAAAAAGAGAGUUAUAAUUUACUAUUGCGACAACUAAAAGAACAAAGGACAGCUCACUGUAUAAAUUGGCUAUUAAAUUGACUCAUGAUUACGUGGAACUAGACAGUGGUGUCAGGCUCCUAGCGGAUGACUAUGGCCUUGUUUAGAUUCAAAAACUUUUUGAAUUUUGACACUGUAGCAUUUUCAUUUUUAUUUGACAAAUAUUGUCCAAUCAUAGAGUAACUAGGCUUAAAAGAUUCGUAUCGUGAUUUAUAGGUAAAUUGUGCAAUUAGUUAUCUUUUUAUCUAUAUUUAAUGUUCCAUGCAAGUGACGCAAGAUUUGAUGUGAUGGAGAAUCUUAUAAAGUUUUGGAUUUUUGGGUGCAUCUAAACAAGGCCUAAGUACAAAGCAUGAAAAAUAUUGUGGUCGAUCAAACGAUACUAUAAGAAAAAAGAAACUAUAGAUCCAUAAUAGAAGAAGCAAGAUCAUCUCGAAUUUAAAUCUAUAAGAAAGCUAAGGGAUUAGAUAAAUACUUAAAAAGGUGGUUUGUAUCUGCGAUAGGACUGAGAUCGAAGACUACCCAAUUUGGCCACAGGUGAAAUUGUGCAUUCACGAGCUAAUAAGAGGAAAAAAGGGAAGAGAUAACAAUAGGCCUAAGUCACACUUGAGGAGUUCAUGCCAAUAGAUAGAGUAAAGAUGCAUCGAGAGAAAACAAUUAUAAUGAAACAAGUAAAUUUGCAAAAAAAAUAUUUAAUAAAAAAAAUCCAAAUAUUAAUAAGCGUGCUAUUUUCGCAGGCCAUCUUGCUAGAGUUUUUAAAUAGGAAGCACAGGCCGAGAAUUUGAAUAAACGUAUAUAAGGACUAGAAUUUCAAGUUAAAUUAUUGAUAAAAAAACUUGUACAAAACAUUGAUAUAACUUGAGUUAAUGUUUCUACUAAAACAUGUCGAGGACAAGGGACAGUUCAGUGCAGAGGUGGAAAAAAUUUAAAUAUGGAUGAAAACAUAUAGAGUAACCGGCACAUUUACCAUAAUCAGAUAGUUAAAAGACUCGACCCGCGGGGUAAGAUAACCUCGGACAUUGUGUUUAAAAAGAAGAUAUUCUCAUGCAGGUCGAGAAAAUCUUUGAACCUCUGUCCCACUCAUACAGAGCAGCACUGUAACUCCCGUGAAACUGGGCUGGCCUUAGAUCUAUGAUUUGGCAUGAAGCAGGUAUUUGUGCCAGAAAAAUAAAUAGUAAAUUAUAAAGACUAGUAUAAGUUUUAGUACAUAUGUCUCGUAGGUUUAUAGUUUCUACAAAAGCACAGAUUAAUGGACUAUAUAUUACUUAGGUCUUGUUUAGUUUCUUCUGAAAACCCAAAAAUUUUCAAGAUUCUGUGUCACAUUGAAUCUUUGGACAUAUGCAUGAAACAUUAAAUAUAGAUGAAAAUAAAAAUUAAUUACACAGCUUAUCUAUAAUUUGCGAGACGGAUCUUUUAAGCCAAAUUAGUCUAUAAUUGGACAAUAUUUGUCAUAUACAAACGAAAGUGCUAUGUUUUUCAAAAAAAUUUGGAACUAAACGAGGCCUUACUGAACAGCGAUCUCACUUGAUCAGAAGAUCCGUGUCACACGACUCACUGAAAAAUUAGAACCUCCAAAGGUAAAUAACUGGAAAUAUGUUGUGCCACCCUCGAGUUCUUGGAAUCCCAGAUCCUGCCUCACAGUUCCUGACGGCCAGGGCCAACCAUGCAAUCCACACCACACAUUGAAACUGAAUUGAGCGGCCCACAGCCCAGCAAAUGAAUGAAGCCCAGAAUGCAUGGAACAAACCGGUGACCGGUCAGCAACAGCACGCCCAUUUGAUCCGAGAUUCAGAGGCAAGAUUUGAUGCCGUCUCGUUUUCAUUUCCUCAGUUUUCUCUGCCGCAGCUGUCCUGUCCAUGCUGCAGAUACCAGACAAGGAAUACUAGUAUACCAUGCAUAAUGCAGUGGACACAUCAGGCAUGUCUCGUAUUAUUGCAUCUCAUCAUUUGCAUCUUCAUUUUAUAAAUUAAUGUGAAAACGUGAUUAUUUUGCAAACAGGAGAGAGAGCUCCAAAUCAUUGGUCUCUGUCUGGCAAUGCAAAAGGGAACACAAUCAGGUCAGCUCAGUGCUUUUGGGAUCCUUACUGGUCCCUUGCCAACCCAUGAAGUGCAGCCCGGCGAUCCAAUGGCAACUGUACCUAGCUAGACCCCUGUUUGCCUCUUGGCAACCUGCAUGUUCCACACCAGUGGAUCUGUUUAGAAAAAAGAUGCCUACGCACAACUACAACUGCGCACCUUUUUCUCUUCUAUAGCCAACACUAAAGCUCUCUGUCAAACAAUUUUUUAGGGCAAAAAUGGCAGGUGCUCUGCCUUGCCAUUUAAUUUAAGCAGGGGGGAAAGUACAGAGUUGUUGCUCCAGCAGCUGCGACCAAACUAAUAAUAACAAAAGAAACAUUUCAAAACUGAAUCUCCCUCCCUCCCUAGUCCCUCGUUUCAAACCGAGAAGUUGAAUUGGAGCGUCGAAAAGGAUGAUACUGUUUUGAGGUAAACGAGCCUGUGUUAUCUGACAAACUGCUAGGCAGGGAAUGCAUUCAAACCUGUCUCCCAAAUUUACCCGUGGUGUAAAUCAAAAAUCAGUAUAUGCCUAUACUCAGGCUGCAGGAUCCAGCGUGUCGAUCACGCGAUGCAAAGCUGCUGCGCAUAGCAUCAAACCAUCUGAUCUCUGCGACGUGCUCCCCUAUAGUAGCUAAAAAAUGUAGUAAAACGAAACAAAAGCCGUGUGUGUGUUUUUUCCUUUGCAUGAUCUAACUGCCAUUGAUACUGUUGCAAACAGUGUAGCAUACAGGCUUUCGGCUACAGUCCUCUGGGCUUGUCCUCUGCGGCGUCCUACUGCAGCACACAGCUAAGCAAUGCAAUGGCGGCAUCAGUCUUGCCGCCGGCCAGAUAGUGCUAUGCAUGCUCAUGUCCGGCACGGCAGUAACCUAAUUACCCAUCAAUCCAGUAAAUCCAACACAAAUGAACCGUGCUGUGGACUGCUGUGUGGUUCGAGAUAGUGAUAAUAGGCUGCCUGGUUACUGAAGAUAGCCGCAUCCGGAUAAGCCUGAAUGAUACGAUGAGGUCACGAGGCCAUGGCCAUGUUCAGGCAUGGAGAUAGUAUGUUAUUGGUCGAUCCGUCGCAUUCAGGACAACGCCGUGGCCGCCUCCUCUUGUCUCUAACUUCAUGUAGUGCAACGCAAGUCUGUGCAGGAAUCAAUUAUUUCAGAUCUUCUAUUCUGUAUAAGAUCAAGAAUCCUGGAGAAGAUAUUGCUGCCUUUCUACGGCACCGGCAUGGCAUGAGUAAGGAGAGCCUCACUGUCUCCCUGAAUGGAGCGAUCCCUGACGGACAUACGUACAUGAGCUGAUUCUGCUGCAACGGUUGUGGAAUGUUUGGAAAGACUUUGGUAUCAAACAAACGUGAUCCUUGCAGUUGUAUCGAAUUUCAUGAGGAUCACUAGCUCAUACUACAUUCCAGCUACCUACUGAGAAGAGGUGUCACAAGUUAAUUUCAUGGAUGAGAUGGAGUGGGAGCCUGAGCCUGUUUGCACACAUCUGAUACGGUAUGGAGUGUAGUAUGGGGACAUGGACUACGAAUGAGGAUAUAGGCAACCACAACCACUGAAGAAAGAAUGAAAAAGAGGGAGCUUUAGAGAGGUGAGCCAUAAAUUGGGUCCUCAUGGUUAGCAGGACUUGUGUAAAUGCUCCGAGAUUUCCGUCGCCACUUGUCUGUUUUUUUAACUGCACGUUCAGGAAGCUUGCCUAGUACUGUCAGUACAAAUAUGAUAGAGCAGUGCUCCUAGAAGAAAUGGCAAGCUGGCGGUGCACAAGGGAUUUUCUUCAACAAGUGGUCGCCACCAUAGUAGCAAUGGAAGAACUGAAACAUCAAGAUGGCAUUUAUUUCCCAUCUAAUUAAUACAUAACUUUGCUUCUAGGUCUUGUCAUUCCUUCUUCCUGUUAUGUUAUUGAAAACCAAGGGACCUCAGACUCAGAGGAAGAUAGCAAAAAAAUGGCUGGAGAUAUUAGAAAUUCAGGUAGAUAGAUCCAUCUGUGAGCCUGGCCUAGCUACCCUCUGAAGGACACAAUUGAGGGUCCUACUGUCAAAUUGCUUCUGGCAAGAGAUGCUAAACUGAAGUGAUAUCUGGGGUCAGUCAAUCAACACACUUACUUAUCUGUAAAAGAACACUUUUUUUUGCCAGUGCUGGCAGGGGGGAAGAGAAGAAACGCAUCUUGACCUGAUUAGACCAGCUACAUAGGUUAGCUAGGCAGCUUGUUGAGACAUGACAGAUGGGUUACUGUUCUUGGAUAAGGCCAGGUCGCACUCACACACACCGCUCUGCGAGCUCGCCAUCCAUAUAAUUCUAACCAAGCACAGGGAGAGAGGUACACACACAAGAAAAAGUACAGUUGUUCAAGUAACGAACAACACUCUUAGAUGUCCCUCACUCUACGAGCAAGCAUCCGUCUUUCUCAGACAGCCGCAACCACCCUACUGUCCGUGCACAAUCAUGGAGCUGAGGAGCCUGCAUGGCAUCCCAUUUGUUUGCAGCCAACUUGGUGCACCGUCGUGAGGGUUUCUGGAACCAAGCAUUUCUCAACGACGCCGACGCACGAGCAGACUAAGAAAAUGGGGGGAGAUCAGAUCAAUAAUGUGUGUGAUCCUCAGGCUGGCAAUGCAGCGUGUCCUGCAGGAAACAACGUUUCUCCUUCUCCCUGUACUGUUGGCUCAGGCAGAGGCAGUUGGUCUCUGAAUUUCUAAUGCUAGUAUAGUAGUACAUCUGAUCAUCCGGACUGAUUCAGGGAGACCUGGAUGAAGAUAUAUAAAGGAAAUCAUAUACUAUUCCGUGUGGAUUAUUUGAUUGGUCGGUUGUUUUUUAGACACAGAAUGCGCUCGCGACAAAGUUGACCAAGAUCUUCUGCGACGUUCGAUCGUUUCUGAGGGACUAGGACUAUCCUCCUGUCAUGCUUGUUCACUGAACAAUGGCAUGGUAACUGGUCCAUCGAUCCUGCUGUCAUUGUUUCCUUGGUGGUCAACCUCACAGCAUGAAAAUUGACAGGAGGCAAACAUUAUCCACGGAGAAAUGUAUAGUCCGUACAUACUCCCAAAUGCAUGCAACAAUGCAAGCUAGCUUGUAAUCCACAUCUGCAUUUUGGCCCCAAGCCUGAAAGAUGCAAAUGAAGAGGUGGAUCGGAGAUAGUUGAACGGAAUCUGAAAUGUGCCAACACCAACAGGUGGACGGCCGGACUCCCAACGCACACAAGAAUGCAUGGGCAUGGCACGCGCACGUACCAGCACCGCCACGCCCAAGCCCACUGCAUCUUCCUUGGCAUCUUCUUCUUCUCUGUCUCCUCUCCCUACCCGCCCACCUCUAGUCUUGCCUUUAAAAAUGUCUCGCUCCCUGCCCCUGGAUGCCAUUUCCAUUGCCAUUGCCACCUCGUCUUCACACUCCCAGCAGGACCUCAUCAGCUUCCUCGCUCGAUCACAUUUCGCUUGCGCAGCAGCAGCAGAAGCAGCUAGCCAUGGUCAGGAAGCUCGCGCUCGCCUCCCUCUUCUUCAACGCCAGCGAGGGAAGCCAGUGCCUUUCCUCCUCGGCGUCCAUGUCCGCCGCCUCCUUCAGCACGGCGGCGUCGUGGCAGUGGCCGUCUUGCACGCAGGCGAGGACGCGCUCCUUCCGGGGCGACAACAGACCGGAGAUCGUGUCCAUGCGCCACGACGACACCAGCAGCAAGCGAGAGGAGCAGCAGGAGGGAGGGUACCAGUGCAGCUACAAGACGAGCAUGAACCCGGCCUACGUCCACGACUACUCAUCGGCCGGCGCCGCCGAUUGCUACUCCUCCAGCGGGCUCUCCGACUCCUCCGCGACCCAGAGCCUCUACCUCUCCACGGCGCCAGCAGAGCCCGCCGUGGCCGUCGCCGCAGACGAGGACGAGGCGAUCAUCCACGGACUCCGCUCCUCCACCACCCGCCGGCUCCUGUUCGAGCCCGAGUCCACGAGCUCCAUCGUGAAGACGAAAAAGGCGUCUGCGGCGGCGUUCGACGGCGCCACGGCGCUGGCCAUCGAGUCCGCUGACCCGUACGGCGACUUCCGGCGGUCCAUGGAGGAGAUGGUGCUGAGCCACGGCGCCGACGACUGGGGUUGGCUCGAGGAGAUGCUCGGGUGGUACCUCAGGGCGAACGGCAAGAAUACGCACGGUCUCAUCGUCGGCGCCUUCGUCGACCUGCUCGUCGCGCUCGCCUCCUCUGCUUCUGCUCCCUCCCCCGCCUGCUGCUCCUCUGGCUUGAAGCAGAGCCGGCAUCUUCAGGCUGCCAAGAUAGGCCGCGAACGCCACCGAACGCAAGCAGAGUAGGCGAAGGCGAGUGCUCAUCAGUCAUCAUCAUCAUCAUCAGGGCUAAUGCCGAUGUGUUGUGUGCAACUGAUUUGAUUUCGUUUGAUUCGUGACAUGACAAACAUCGAAUGGUGCUUGUUAAUUGAUAUCCAUCUUGCGAGCUUGAUGCAGAUGUAGCCGUUGACUGUUGUGUAAUAUAACUGUAUAUUCUUGUUAGGUCUCCAGACAGAGCUUAUUAGCUUCAGUGGUUGUUCGGUACUGAAUGGUUUGCGUAGUGAGUUAGCUUGGGCUUGGCGACACCUCAUUUCAGUUUUCAAACUUGCAUGCACUUGUGCAUUUUAAAAACAGGACCUGUUUGGAACAAACCUUCUAAAAAUUUUCACUAUAUUUAGAUGCUAAUUAGAAGAACUAAACAUAAACUCAUUGUAUACGUGGUGGCUAAUUGGUGAGAUGAAUAUAUUGAUCCUAAUUAGCCUAUGAUUAGCUCAACAUAUGCUAAAUUAGGAUUAAUAGUUUUGUCUCACUAAUUAGCCACGGCUUAUGCAAUUAAUUUUGAAAUUAGUUCGCUUUUGGUUCUUCUAAAUAACCUCCUAAUAUAUUACUGACUUUUAGGGGCCGGAAGUGACAGGAAAAAAAUGUAUUCUCGUAGUUGCAGGCCAUGGAGACUCCUAUUGACAUACAAUUUCUUCUGGAAAAAGACAAGUUACUCAUCAUGCAUUUUUCUUCACAAAAAUGAUAAACGCUUCCACUCACAGAACUACAAAAAAGGCAGAUAGGUCAUAUUUUUCCCCAUGAAAUUUGGAGUCCAUCUACUUUGUGCAUGCAUGCAUGCAUGCACUUUUACCAUAGAUCCUAGGAAUGUACAAAGUGCAUUUCUUUUUGUGUGUAAACUUGAAAAGAGGUGUACCUCCGAUCAUGUGGCUGCCUGGCUGGUCGUUGUCAUCCUUCUCCCUCUCCAUCUUUUUGCAUGUUGCCUUUGCCUGAAGACAUGGUGACCCCCGGCCCGUAAGUUGCAUGGCAUGGCAGGGGUCCCUUGUUCUCUCUUCUCUGUUCGUUGGCGUCGCCGUCCUUCCUUGAAACCGUCGAUCAGGCAGAUGGAGACAGGCACGCAGCGGUGGUACUGAUAGUCGGUUGGAGUACUAUAUAUCUGGCCAUCAUUUCCUGACGCCGCCAAGCUGGUUUGGAGUCCUUCACGUACUGGCAACACACAUGAACAAGCACACUGACGUGACGACGUUUCAGUUUCAAUAAUAAUGUGUGGUCGUUUCCUGUACGAAUGCUGCGCGUACGUACUCCUAAAGGCUAAAGUCCAGCUCUUUGCUGCUAUUUUCUUGCACUGGUGAAAGAAUUUAGAAAAAAAAAUUGCAGAGACCAGACGAACAGUCAGUCAGUGCAUGGCUGCAACCUCUAGCUACGACCUCUGCUCGGAGAAGUCAGUGAUGUGAGAGACUGCAAUGCAUAUGCAAGCACUGUGUAAACGUGAAUGGAUUUUCACUGCUUACGAGUCGACUAAGCUAGCUCACGCCGCAGGUGGGCAGAAUAAAGUUCAGUCAGAACUGGACUUGCUCUGACUGCGGGUAGAUAGGAGCGCAAGAUCGAGCUCUAGUAGACCUGAAAAGCUAUGGCGACAAAACUGAUAUGCGUCUGCAUCUGCACAGUUGCACUUGCACCACUAUAGUAUAAUCCGCGGGAAGUGCGCGAUCGAUGAUGAAUGCAUGCACGAUUCAAAAUCAGCUGCCAUUUAUAUCAGCUGCCACAUCCGUUUUAGUCCAUGACAAAUAGUACUUGUAAAAGGUUGGCAAGGUUAAAGAGUUCUGCAGGACUGGAUAAUAAGCAAAUGCAAGGGAUUUCAGUUUAACCUAAGUCAAACUCGUGUCACUUCAGCUAAGUUCAUGGAUAAAAAAUGCACCAAACAACAUCUACAGCAGUACAGCACCAAGUUAAUUAGUCUCAUUAAUAAUUAAAUCCGUCCUGAAAUUCUGCAGGAUUGGAUGAGCAAACCAGCGGCGCUUUAUUGCUCCAAUGACUGGCGGCAUAUAUAGACAAACAAAGCAGUCAGUGUCAAACCCAAUCAAGAUUACCACUAGUCUAGUGUAUCGGUACUACUCCUAGUAUCUAUCAGAGAAAGAAGUUGGCGCGACGUUGAUAUGUACCAUUGGCACACACUACACCUCAUAGCACGCAUGCUAUUGCUACUGCUAUUGCUAGCUGAGACUACUGGACCAUCACUCAUAGCAUACAUGCAUGUGUUUGCCAUCCAAAGAGAAAGUGUCCUCUGCAUAACUGCAUUGCAAGACGCCAAGGCGCGCGUGCCCGUUUGGAGAUUUGGAUGCUGCAUGCUUUGCUGCCUACGAAGAGAUAGAUGAUGUGGAUGCGAGAGAAAUUAUAUAAUUUUGUUGCAUACAAUACAACUCGCAUUGCAUUGCAUUACAUUUGCAUGUGGACGCGCGCAGCAGGCAGAGCAGAUCGAUCAGCAGCAAUCGAAGGGAGCCAUACUGUUGAGUGGCUUGGCCUGUGGUGGCCUCUGGCCUCAGCCAAAACAGCCUAGCGGAACAGUGGUCGCCCGGCCCCCAGCCCAAAGCAACGUUGCCCUCAUCAGAUUCAGAUGGAUCACAAGCUUCACGAGCAGCAGGCAGCCAAGCUAGUGGCCCUCAUCCGAUCCAAAAGAAAAGUCUCCCGUCUCUGAAACUUCAAACAGUGCAAACAAGUUCCUCUCCUUCACAGUCACAUCAGCAUUGUUAUAUCGCGAUAUCUCAAUUCUCAGCUGAAGAUAAACCUGUCGCUAGCUCACUGGGACUGAAUAUAUAUUUUGACUUGAGAUGAACGAAAAAUAACAUCCCACAACCAAGUUGUUGAGAUGAAUUAAGAUCACUCGAGCUGAAUGAAUCUGGUGAACUCACUCAAACGCGCCACACCUGCACUUAGUGGAGCACCAGUGACGACGGGCAGUGGUGAUCGAUACACAGCUGGAGCGCUAGGGUUUUAGGCAGAAUCUCUGAUGCGAUGAUGUGCUUCCUUCCUACUACUAGUACACGUACGUACUACAUGAUCCUAGUCACAGUCGUCACAGCGGGCACAGCGCCGGCCGAUAAUGCCAACGCCAUUACUGCACUCUACGUAGGAGUAUUUCUGUAGCGGCAUCUCGCAUCUGUGUCUUGGGUUGUGCCUCAGGUUUUUGGUGUGCUUCCGGUUCCAGCUCCAGAACAGGGGGUUUGGUGGGGGUGAGGGAAUCACGGGGGCGAUUGCGGCCGUGAUCGAUCGCAGAGCAAGCAUCCACACCCCACACCCCAAAUCAAAAGAUGCCACCGUGCAUGCGUAGUAGACCAGCUGGUGCUGGCGGAGAGGAGGCAGAUUAGACAGUCAUCAGAGAUUCAGAAUUCCGCUAUUUCUCUGACAAAUUGAACACUGCUUCUGAUUGGCCUUUCUACCUGAAUAAAAGUACCCCCUCCGUGUAUGUAAGUCUCACUUUUGAAGAAGUCAAACAAUUUUAAAUUUAAUCAAAUCUAUAAAAGAAUGACAAACAUUUAUGAUGCCGAAUAAGUGCCAUUAUAUUGAUUAUGGAAUAUGUUUUCACAGUAAAUCCAACUGGAGAUAAAAAAAUGUUGAAAACUUUUUUCUAAAAAUUUGGUCCAAUAUAGAAAAUUUGGACUUAUCUAAAACCUAUAAUUGUAUUCUUUUUAGGACGGAGGGAGUAUGUAAUGUAACACAACCUAAUGCACAGCCCACUAUGCUGGCUGUCGCUGCGGCCGUUGCGCGGCCAGUAAAACAAUGUGCACUACUUCAGCUAGUGCACAUGAGGCUCUUACAGUGAAGGAUGAACCCUCAUAUAGGUCUAAUUUUGUGGGUUGCUCGCAUCAAACUAUAAAAUUAAACCUAUAGACAUGAGCCCAUCAAUCAACAUCACUAGAGUUGGCAUUAGGUUUUAGCUAAACAAUGCAACUUGAUCACCACUUUGUACCACUGCAAACGAUGACAGCUUGACAAGGUAUCAGAUCAACCAAUCGUCUGCAGUUUAGCUAAGAGAUUUCAAAUGUGUAAUUUCACACCACACGGUUCAUUGGCGCUAGCCAUCACUGCUCCAUUUGGUUGGGUUUCAGGAACUAGCAAUAGUGACGCUUCCAAACCACAUCCCAAACACAAUUUGAAAAGUACAAGAUGAGCGCAUAUCAGGGCAGAAUAUAUUAUACCAGCAUUCAGGUUUGUGUGUCAUAAAACCAGUAAACGGUACAUAGAUUCGAAGCGGACAAAUACAAUAGAAAACGUUGACAGGCCUCCUUGCUUGAGCUUUCAAUACUGUGGUCACCUGAAAGACAUGGACCUAAGUCUUUUUCUUCGAUGACUUCUUGUGGGGUUUCUUCUGUGGCUUAAGCUUUAUCGGACUUCGAUGACAUAUCUUUCUCUUUCCUUCUUUGCUAUUCCUUUUUCACCUUGUACACUGUGAUUGCCUGCUUAGAAGAUUGUUCACAGAUGCUGUUAGCUCACCCGAACACAACAUGGAGCAGUACCAGUAAUGGUGGGCAAAAGAUAACUUCAUGUAAACGGUUGGAUCCUGGAACUUGCCUUGCCGACAUCAAGCGGUUCAUCGGAGUUUCUGGCAAGUAGAGAGUUCAGGAUUUUGUCGUUCUGCUGUUUCUCCAGGCUGCCCAUUCCCUUCCCUUCGGCAACUGGGAGGAACUGCAGAAACGGCAAGACUCAGCUAGUGAACGAAAUUAGCCUAAGGAAGUACAGACACACAAAUCAAAGCCAUUCAGAUAUAAAAAUCUUUCUAUGUUUGCCAGGGUGCUUUGGAGGUUUCUCGCAAGGCAACUUCUCGUCAAACUUCCCACCAGCUGUUGCUGAUGAAGCCAUGCCAACAACACUCUCAAGAUCCUCUUUUCUAGACUUCUUUGGAAGGUCGGCUUUAGUUCCUGUGAUGGGCAAGGCCUUUGCAGCAAGCUGUAUAUGACUGCAUACAAAAGAUAUUGGAUAGCUGUAAUUCUACAAGGUUCCUUCCUGAAACAAAAAGACAUACAUAAUACAAGGGAGGGGGGAAGCAGCAUUUACUAGUGAAGGAUGACAACCUUGGCAAAGCGCCAAUCUUUGCAGCUUUCUUUAAGUUCUCUAGUUUGUUCUUUUCUUGCUUUUCAACCCUCUUCUUCUUUUCAUCCCUUCUUUGUGCGAAAGGAUCAACACCAGGCUCUGCAAUAAAUGAAUUGUUGAUUAAAAGAAUAUCAGGUUGGCAAGCCAGGUUUAGGACACAUGAGAAUCAUUGAUAAGUGAUAACAAGAAAAUACUUGUCAGGUCCAGAAGGUGUUAAACUAUAAAAGUAUUGGUUAUCCAAAAUAAAUGGGGGUAAGUAUGUCACAUUAAGAAAUGGUGAGCAGAAUCAGCAUGCACAAGGAGAUGCAUAUGACAAUUACAACAUGCUACUGGAAUACUGGAUGGGGAGGACAGGCAACCAGUCUAGUUGCAGAGCAGGUUUGUUGGCAAAAGCUCAAGAAGACAAGUUACUAACCGUCAGUCGAUUUGGCUUCAAUGAUCGGCAUCUAACACGGUUGUAACCGUAAGUCCACUUCCAGGAUUGAGUUUGCUCAUCCCACUCGCGCUUGUUCUUCUUGCGCUUGGUAAUGCCUAUGGUAUGAGUAGAUCACCCAAAUAAUGAUGAAAAUUUGUGUAAAUUCCCAAUUUCCACAACAGUCAUAAAAGCAACACAUCAUGGGAAACAGGAUCACCUUUCGCCUUUGCAAACAGCUCCCACUUGGUCGGUGGCUUUGGCUUGGGAAGCUGGCAAGAACAUAUACCAGGUUGUUAAAAAUACAAAACACCUCGCAUCACACAAUCUUCAAUCUACUUGUAAACACGAAGAACUAACGAUCGAGCUCAGUCAGAAGCAAAUAUGCCCUGCAGCUAUAGUAGUUCUGGCUCACAGUCAUGGCAGAAGCACGUCGUCAAUUCUCACAGUCAAAAGUACAUGUUUUACACCAAAAUCAAACGAGGUUCUAAUUUAGGCACGAGAUUUUAUAGCGGCAGGCGAAAUAGCAGUCCAUCCCAUGUGACUGACUACCUACUUGUACAGCGCAUCAUCUUCGGAGGAUGCUUCUAGUGUUAUGGCCACCAUAUAUAGGCAAACAGAAUCAGUAGGAAAUUAAGAGAGAGGCUCUCACAUGCUUCUCGCGCGGGAGUCCGACGGUGGGCGGCGGGAGGUGGACGAUGGGGCCGUCACGGUCCUCGUUGGGCGGCAGCGCGAAGAGGGCGUCGGCCACCGCCUGCGCCAGCUCCGUCCCCUUCCGCAGGCACUCCUGCCUCAGCUCCUCCCUGAAUUUUGCCGCCCCCAACCAAACACCGCCGCAUUCUGUCAGGAAAACCAACAGUAACGCCGCAGCAGAAAAGGAACGCACGAGGCACACUACCUGGAGGCGGCGGCGGUGGUGCGACGGAUCGUACGCCAUGAGAUUGCCGAGGUCGACCUCGUAGCUGGACGCCGCGAUGGUGGCGGCGGCGGGCUCCUUCGCCAUGGCUGCGCCGGUAAGCGGCUCGCGGCUGUGGAAGAGAAAUAAGAGAACCAUCCGAGCGAGGCUGCGGCCCUGCGGCUGGAGAAGGCAGCUAGCUAGGAUUUUACUUGGGCUGGCCCGACGGAUAGGAUGAUAUGGAUCUCAUUUUUGAAUGGGCCAGAGACGAUAACGUUGGGAAUGGGCCACGUUUAUACGCUAAGCCCAAUAUGGAGGGGACAACGAUUGAAAUUAUGACCUGGGCCUUGCCCUUGUGAGGUUUGUGCGGUUGAUGUUUUCAGUUACGGAAUAAUAUUUUUUCUUACAAUAAAUAAAUUAGUAUUAGGCCUUGUUUAGUUCUAUUUUUUUUUUUGCAAAAUAGACACUAUAGCAAUUUCGCUAAUCUUGUCUAACCAUAGACUAACUAGACUCAAACGAUUCAUCUCAUAAAUUAUAAGUAAACUGUGUAAUUAGUUAUUUCUUUUAUAUCUAUAUAUAAUGCUCCAUGAAUGUUCAAUGUGACGAGUAAUCUAAAAAAUUUUACAAAAAAAAUUAGAAACUAAACAAGGCCUAGCAAUGGUUUUUUUCAGCUAGCCGAACAGGAUGCAUAUACGUAGCUAUCAAUCUAAAGAUCUAUUACAUACUAGGUGUGUUAUCUAUCUUUUUUUUUUCUCUGGCCCCUCAGCGCUGAUGUUCAAUUUUUUUAUAUUGAGUGAAAUGGAAAUGAUAAACAGGCUAAAAAAACAGACUAUGGUGGGAAUUUUCUCUAAAAAAUACAACCUAAAUUGUAAUCAUGAACUAUGCAUGAUCAUCAUCACUUUAUACCUUCUCGUUAUAGGAAGUUUGAAACCAUAAAACUGAAAAGCAUAAAGUGGGAAUCACAUAGCUAAGAUAAGAUAUGUCAGCAAAUUUCAAACCUUCUUUAGUGCACAACUGAGAUAAUCAGGGUGAACAAAAGGGGGUGAGAAACAAUAAAGAUCUUGUAAAUCAGAAGCACCAAAAUAAGUGGUUACCCACAAGUAAUGGUGUUAAUCAGAAUGAGUUCCUUGUGUAUGUGUUGCUGCAGCACAUUGUUCUUCAACAAACUUAGCACACACCUGGACUCUUUUACGGAGUACAAGAGUUGCCAUCAGCAAUUCCUUGUGAUAUUCAUUCCAUCUUCUAAAAUGAACCAAGGUCCUGAUGAAGUGGUGAUCUCACGCGCCGCGCACGCGUCCUGCGCCCGUGACCCGGUGCAACCCAUGGCCAUGAGCCCAUGAUCAUGGUCAUGAUGGUCAUCAUCAAGGACGGCCAGGCCGGAGACGGAGGCGGAGGCGGAGAGGAGGGGGACCCACCGGCCACCGCCAUGUCCACCAACCCAAGCGAGGCACAUAUACUCCUGUCCCAUCGGCCAUCGUUUUAGAAUCACACACAGACAAAGCACGCGCUGCCGCCGCUGGCAGCUUAAAACCCAAACCCCCUCGUCAUCCAUUCCAGCCACGAGCCACCAUGGCUCCACCACCACCUCUGCUCCCGCUUCUCCUCAUCCUCCUCGUCACCGUUCCUCUCUUCCCCACCGCCGCGCCGACGGCCACGACCCUGCCGCUGUACCGCCACCUCCCGCACGUGGCCGAGGCCGAGGCCGAGGACGCGCACCACCACCCGCUGUCCCGCCUGGCCGCCGCGUCGCUGGCCCGCGCGUCGCACCUCAAGCGCCGGGGACGCGCCAGCCACCACAGCCAAAAAGGAUCAUCAUCAGGCGGCCACAAGUCAAUCCCAGCCACCGCCGCACUGUACCCGCACUCCUACGGCGGCUACGCCUUCACGGCGUCGCUCGGCACGCCGCCGCAGCCGCUCCCCGUGCUGCUCGACACCGGCAGCCAGCUCACCUGGGUGCCCUGCACCUCCAACUACGACUGCCGCAACUGCUCCUCCCCGUUCGCCGCCGCCGUGCCGGUCUUCCACCCCAAGAACUCCUCCUCCUCCCGCCUCGUCGGCUGCCGCAACCCUUCCUGCCUGUGGGUCCACUCCGCCGAGCACGUCGCCAAGUGCCGCGCCCCCUGCUCCCGCGGCGCCAACUGCACCCCCGCCAGCAACGUCUGCCCGCCCUACGCCGUCGUCUACGGCUCCGGCUCCACCGCCGGGCUGCUCAUCGCCGACACCCUGCGCGCGCCGGGGCGCGCCGUUUCUGGCUUCGUCCUCGGAUGCAGCCUCGUGUCCGUGCACCAACCGCCGUCGGGCCUCGCUGGCUUCGGCCGCGGCGCGCCGUCCGUGCCCGCGCAGCUCGGCCUCUCCAAAUUCUCCUACUGCCUUCUGUCCCGCCGCUUCGACGACAACGCCGCCGUGAGCGGCUCGCUCGUCCUCGGCGGCGACAACGACGGCAUGCAGUACGUGCCCCUGGUGAAGAGCGCGGCGGGCGACAAGCAGCCGUACGCCGUCUACUACUACCUGGCGCUGUCGGGCGUGACGGUGGGCGGGAAGGCGGUGCGGCUCCCGGCGCGGGCGUUCGCGGCCAACGCCGCGGGGUCCGGUGGCGCCAUCGUGGACUCCGGCACCACGUUCACGUACCUCGACCCGACGGUGUUCCAGCCCGUGGCGGACGCGGUGGUGGCGGCGGUGGGAGGGCGGUACAAGCGGUCCAAGGACGUGGAGGAGGGGCUGGGCCUGCACCCCUGCUUCGCGCUGCCGCAGGGCGCCAAGUCCAUGGCGCUGCCGGAGCUGUCGCUCCACUUCAAGGGCGGCGCGGUGAUGCAGCUCCCGCUCGAGAACUACUUCGUGGUCGCGGGCCGCGCACCCGUGCCCGGCGCCGGCGCCGGCGCUGGUGCUGCCGAGGCCAUCUGCCUCGCCGUGGUCACCGACUUCGGAGGCUCCGGCGCUGGAGACGAGGGCGGUGGCCCGGCCAUCAUCCUCGGCAGCUUCCAGCAGCAGAACUACCUCGUGGAGUACGACCUGGAGAAAGAGAGGCUGGGGUUCCGCCGGCAGCCAUGCGCGUCGUCGUCGUGAGCGACGUGGAUCGGCAUGGCGGGAUCGGAGUGGAGGCUAUUAAUUACUCCAGUCCACGUAGCGGCAAUGGUAAAUGCAAAAGCUGGCUGUUUGCUCUUUUACUAUCGUGCUUUGCGGAUUGUACUGGUAAUAAACUAAAUUUACUAUCGUGUAAGAUUGAAAAAAAAAAUUACUAUCGUGUGUGCCUGGCUGCCUGCUCAUUCAUGUCACAUGGAUGCGUUUAGAGUUUAGACGUUGAUCAUCAUCAUGGACAUGGUAUGUGAUGUGAGGAAAAGACGAGCAAAAAGACGGAUGCUUUUCUUUUUCUUUACGGAUUGCUUUGGGAAAGAGGGGAAGCAUGUGCAUCGAUGCAGCUCAUUAGAAUUGUUAGUAGUAGUUUAUUUUAAUCCGUAUUGCAGUAAUUUUUUAGCAUAUUUGAUUUCAGCAUUUCUCUUGGGCUAAAAACCAAAAAUGUAAUCAUGUGGCUGUGAUAUCGGCGAUUGGCUUUCUGGGCUGACGGGUGGAAUGUUUGGUGGGGCUCUCUCUUGUCGCAUGUACGUACCUUGAUUGCAUGUGGUUGUGGGCAGUGCAAGGAGCAGGGCUACUUUCAAUUGCCCUACCUAAUUCACUGCAGUACUGACAGUGGCGACGUGAAUGAGGGCAUGUGCCAUUGCUCGCCGUGUCGGCAGUGCAGUGCAAGGCAGGGACCGGAGCGUCUUUGAUCAGGAUGUGGUACUUGUGCACUACCGGGCGGCAGUAAAAACAUUGUACUCGUACACUAGUGCGACUACUAGUUUUUUUUUUCUUUUGAGUAACACUGUACUGCAUUCUUUUACUGUUCUGGGCUCGAGUUUCUGUUUGUACCUCGUUUUCUAUCAUCAGGCCCGACAACACGCAGUGGGCCUGGCAUUGAUCGUAAGCCUACUACUCCAUAGCAGCAGAGGGAACCACUCAAAAAAAAAAAGCAGAGGGAAGUACGCAAUCUCAAAAGACGCGGACGGGGAAGGCCCAAACGAAUAUGGGCUAAUGGGCCAUGCGCAUCUUCUUUGUUUCCUUCCUCCUUCGGCUCUUUCCUAAAAGGUUUGUUUGUAAACAUUGCAAUUUCCUAAAAGGGUUGUUUGGAAACAUAGCUCUUCCCUUCCAACCACCAACAUAGCAGAAGCUCUUUCCUAAAAGGCUUGUUUGGAAACAUUGCAAUUUCCUUCGAUGCAUAUGGUAUUGCAAGAUGGAUAAGAUUAAUAAAGUAAAAAAAGAUUAGUUUAUUUCCUCACCUCCCCCAAAAACUCAGAACGCAUGAAAUAGGAUGAUCUCGUGUUGAAAAAAGAUUUGUUCGUUUUCCUUUCGAUUCGUAUAUGUGGAUCUACCGAUCUAGUACUUGUAGAUGGAUUAAGUUUAUCCAUCCAAACACAACACUAGAUGUCGACUCUUCUAUCUCUAUGUGCACGUGGCCCACGGUGUCCUUGUCCUUGGAUGUUUUAGUGGAGCACCAACCACCAGGGCACGAGCUAUUCGCUGUCCACGAUCCACCAUUGUCGUGUCGUUUUGAGCUCGUCGUGGUUCCCUGCAUUAUUCUUUGCGUUCAGUCAUGAGCAGGACAGACAUGACCGUAUAACCCAACCGCCGGUAGAUAUUUUCUGUCCGGAAGGAAGCACCGGUUGUUAUUUUUGGUCACCUGCACUGCUCCGCUCACAAAAAUUGAAACAACUUUCUGUUGAACCCGAUCAUCAGACGGCACGGCCCUUGCAUCUCUGUCAACGGGAGUGACAAAUGUUUUGUUCUGUUCUGUGACAGAGAUGCACACACACACACAAGCAAGGAAGAAACCGAACCAAACGCACCACGUCGUAGAAAGGUUGGGGAUAAAUGCAUUGCACACAUGACAGCGUCUACACUAGACAAGAAAAAAAGUGCGCUGCUGCUUUCAGGGGGGAGAAAGGUCGCAAGCUUUCCGCGUGCAACAUCUACUCUCUUGACCCCGUGAAUUUGAUCACGUCACGUCGCGUCUCGUGAUGGUGAUCCAUUAGCGAACCAACCGGGUUUUUCUUUUUUCUUUUUUAAUUGCAAUCAUGUUCAUAGCGAGGAUUGCAAAUGGACAUGGAACCAAUUGGAAUUGCAAGAUUUGAGGAACAGAGCAAAGCAAUCCUCUGAAUUCGCGUCAGAGGAUCACGAGAUUCGCCGGGCUAGUUGUAAUUUUUUUCAGUAAUGUACGUAGAACUGAAAGUGAAAAGCAAUUGCAAGAUGGAAUCAUACGAGAGGAGGAUCUAGCAGCAGUAUAUAGAAAAGAAAAUCUAUAUAUAAAUCAAGCAGCCGCGGCGAUGUACAGAGGAACAAUCGACAUGGAAAUCGACUGAGAGAAUCAACGAAAGAAAGAAUAAAUCCACAGAAAGCAGCAGCAGCAGCAGCAGCAGCAUCAGAUGGCAAUAUUAUCUACUAGUAGUAAUCCUAGCAUCUGUAGGAAAUCCACACCACCAGGUGGCAUCCAAAUCCAAAUCCCAAAUCCCAAAAUCAGAACCAGACUUUGCAAUUCGUGGGCUGGAACGGCGAUGCGUUGGCGGCACCAGGCGCGGGGACGGAGAGCUGGCAGCUGAUCUUCGCCUUAGGCCCGCGGACCUUGAACGCCCAGACCUUGACCCUGAGUUUGGCGUUGAGAUCCACGUUGACGGCGAAGUUGCCCGCGGACUGCUCCUGCCUGAACUCGGCGGCGGUGACGUCGCCCUGGAGGAGCUGGUUGCCGUGGAACUCCGGGGACAGCUUGGUGGACGCCUGGGUGCCCUGGUAGAAGGCGUCGAGCGUGGUGUAGCCGAAGCGCUGGUCCUUGUAGUAGGCGAGGGACUGGACGUCGUCGUAGUAGAGGCCGACGCGCGUGUUGGGGUUGCGCACCGUCAUGGUGACGUUGAGGUCGUAGGUGAGCGUGGAGGUUGUGGAGAGGUUGAACUGGGCGAGCGAGGCGGAGUCGACGGUGGCGGCGAUCAUGUGGGGCUUGAAGAUGAGGUAGAGGAUGAGGACGAGGAUGCCGAGCGUGACGGCGAGGGAGACGAGGAUGCUGCAGAGGCAGCUGAAGAGGCCGCAGGCUAGGCACUUGCAGGGGCAGCAGAGGCACGAGACGGCGCGGCUCGCGGAACCCAUGGUUCUUGGGGGUGUUGUUGUCGCGGGUGGUCGACGGCGGAUGCGGGCGGGCUUGGAUUGGGUUCCCUCCGGUGGAUGGAGUGGAGUGGAAUGGAAGAGGCAGGACGGCGGUGGUGGAUUGGAUUUGGUGGGGAGGCCGGGCUGGGGCUGGUUUAUAUGGAACGAAGCCGGGGAAGGGGACCCGACGCGGUUGUGUAAGCGCGUGGUGGAGUUGGAAGAGGAGACGCCCGCCCGCCCGCCGCGAUGGGGUUAAUUUGGGGGUGGUUGGUUUGCCCUGGUCGUCGUGCUCGCUCGCCUCGCCUCGCCUCGCCUGCCUGCUGGGCUCCCUUGCCUUCCCUUGGUUGGAAACUGCCAAACUGCUCCUCCGCCUGUGGGGGAUUGGGGGAGGUGGAAGGCACGGGGAAGUGGGUGGCGGCCGUCGUGGACUCGUGGUGGUGGAGAGACGAGGAGGCGCCGCUGGCACAUGCCCCGCGGGAGAGUUGUAGCCGUUGUGCCUUUGGGUUGGGUGGGUGGGUCGCGCCUGAUUGGUUUGACCGUUUGCAGCGCAAGCGCAACGGCCAGGACGUCCCGACUCGGGUCGGGCACAAAUCCCACCCCACACGGUCAGGACCCGCCCUGCGCCCCUGCCUUCUGCCAUCCCUUCCGCGUGAUUUUCACCUUCCACGUGGGAGUGCACAGUGGCACGGACAAUAUGAUACUUCCUCCUGGCCCCUAUAUAAUAAAUAUGGGAUAUGCUAUGGAAACCAGUUUCCCGUGAAAACUAUGGAAACUCGCACGUGGAUCGUUAGAUCUAGAUCCGAUGGAUAUGACUAAUGUGUUAGAGAUUAGCAAUUAACCCCUCCCACUCAUCCCUCCCUAAUCUAUUCUUUUGCAAAUUAAACUCCAGAAGCCCUCUCGUGGAAACGUUGUCAUCGUAUCGUUCCGUCAUCAUCGCUGCUCGACGAAACCUAGCCCGCCGCGUCCGAUCCCUGGCCACAUGCGCUGCUGCCCUCGGCCAUGCGCGGGCUUGCCACGGCCGGCCGGUGCUUGCGGCAAGGUGUCCAGGGGCGGCCGCAGCUUGCCUGUGCCGGUCCUUUGCAUGUCAGCCACGGCUGCAACCGGCCAUGUGCCAGCAUAUUGUUCCGCUGGUCAGAGGUAAUUUGCUAAUGAUUGGUUUGACCGUUUGCCGCACAACGGCCAGGACGUCCCGACUCGGGUCGGGCACAGAUCGCACCCCCACACGGUCAGGACCCGCCCUGCGCCCCCUGCCUUCUGCCAUCCCUUCCGCGUGAUUUCCACCUUCCACGUGGGAGUGCACAAUGGCACGGACAAUAUGAUAUUUCCUCCUUGGCCUCUAAAAAAAAUAUAUACUUCUUCCAUUCUAAAUUGUAAGUAACUCCAAGAAUUUUGGAGAGUCAAAACAUUUUCAUGUUUGACUAAAAUUAUAGAGAAAAAUACUAAAAUUUACGACGUAAAGUGAAUAUACUAUGAAAAUAUAAUUAAGGAAGAAUCUAAUGAUACUUAGUUAGUAUCAUAAUAAUAAUUAUUUUAUCAUAUAAAUUUGGUCAAACUUAGAAAAGUUUGACUUUCCAAGAUUUUUGGAAUGACUUACAAUUUGGGAUGGAGCGAGUAUCAUUCUAGAUUUAUAUUGAAAUUAACUUUUUUAAAGGUUGAUCAGAUCUAUAAAAGUAUUGACAACAUUUGCAUCUCAACUUACGACAUAGUAUAUUCCAUGAUUUCUCUUAUCUAUUUAUUAUACUUGUUGCACAUUAUAAAUUAUUAGUUUUUUUAUAUUACCAAACCCUUCACCUUUAUGUUAAGCAUAGAUAUAGUAUUAGGAAGAUAUCCCCCGUGCCUCUUCCUAAGGAACUUCUCCAACACUGAAGCAGUGAGGAAGCGGAGCUUUUGAAAAAGUAGUCGGACUUCUCUCCUCAGUCUUUACUCUAUGAUUCUUUUUUUUUCAUUCUUUUAGGAGCAAGUAUCUUGAUUCCAGCUACCAUCUUUGCUUAUUUACCUAGGUAGGCUUUCUCUUAUAGAUUUCUUUGGCUCACGGCUCUGACUUUCCUCAUAGCGGCAAUUACUUCCUCCGCAACUACAGAAAAACAUAUCCCGCCACUAUCUAGAAUUCCCCUGCUUCUAGGUAUAGUAGAUAUAGAUAGACAUAUCCUAUUUUUCUAUAAAAAAAUAGUUAUAGAAUUUAUGCACAUCAAUCUAGCUUAACUU
rnacentral:lncRNA from 1 species